UGUUUGAUUGCCAGAUAGUUUGCCAACA
rnacentral:sRNA from 1 species